UUGGAGAGAGAGGUUUGUCACGGGGGUCGUGACCCACAGGUUGAAAACCUCUGCCCUAGGCCACGGUACCUUAGGCAUACCCUGUGGCCUAGCACCCAGCCAGCUCCAAGAAUCCCUUUGCCAGUUCUCAGUCUCGGAAGUUGAUCUGUCGGGAAGAAAGUGGUGAUACGGCUUCAGAAAAAGGCCUGGGAACUGUGACCCCUGACCUGCCUAGUGUAGCUGGUGUGGCCUGGCUGCGGUGGCUUGCCAUAUGCGAUGUGGCUUAGGUGACAUCUGAAAGUUAGGACCAAUGUGAGUGGGGACAAGGCACAAGUGCCACAGCUGUUAUGUCAGGAUCCGGGCACACUGGGACCACUCUGUCACCAGGCCCUGUGAACGAGCCAGGUUCCUUCCACGGAACCCGAUCCCUGCUCGGGACCAAGGCUCCUUCCCCUCCACUCCCAAUAUCACAAGAUGACGAGGUUCCCGGAUGCAAGCUUCUGGCUUGGAUCCGUGGGAACCAAGGAUGGAAAAAUUCUAGCAAUAAAAUCAACAUUCAAUCACACUGCACACGCUGGCUGCCUGCAGCAUCAGGGAGCUUGGUCCUGUGUCUGAGUCCACUGUCCUGGGGGGGGGGGGUUGGAGAAGGUGGGCUUUUGUCAGCUUCAAGCAGACGCCACCCACCUGGGACGAGUCUACCCACAGAACUCCCCCAGUGUGGAAGGUGGGGGUGGGUCCUUUAAAACAGAGCAGGAAGCAGGGUGCUAGGUCACUUCCUGUUGCUAUGCUAAUUCCCUGACAGAAAUUUAGGCUGCAGUGUGUCAUUGAGGGGAAGUCCAGAUAGGAACCUGAAGCAGCUGGUUACACCCACAGCCAAGAGCAGAGCGACAUGCAAGGCCCUUGGUCAGCUCCACCCCCACCCCUAGCACAGGAAGGAGGCAGCAGAGCACCCCAGAAAAACACCUCUGUGAAGACAAGACCACCCAAGGGCUUCAGACCCGUGAAAGAACAACUUUAGGUUUGUGGAGGAAAAGCCUCCACGAAAGGCCGGUGAGCCUUGGCUGGACCUCGUGCUCUAAGUGAAAGCACCUUUUAUUUCUCACUUUUCUAGGUCAUGUUCUAAGACAAACAACCAUCUGUGCGCGCACCCCAGGCGCCCCUCACACCUACGAUCCUUCAUCCCUUCCCUAUCUUCAGAACUAAGGUCCUCUUCUGCUGCCUGGAGGAAGAUUUUUCUGGGACUUCCCUUCAGCAUCUCUGAAUACAAGUACGUAUUACUUUACAUAAAGCGUGGCGGGAGGACGUUUUGUGUUGAUUAAAUGUGUGUUAAUCUGACACUUCAACCCACUUGAAGCAUAUCCUUUCACAAAGCCAGGCUUCCCUCAUCCUUCUCCGCUGAGCAUCCCCGGUCGGCUGAUAGAAAGCAAGUGGUAAGUGGUACCCAGGCUGCCGGGCAUCCUCCCCCACUCAGGCCUCUCCUCGAGGGCCUGCUUCCUGCUCUCCACAGUGGUUCUCCAGAGGCCUGGCGCUCUUUGACGGGAUAACUUCAGCCUUCCCCUGCCAGGCCCACCGCCUCUGGGGCCGGGUAUCAAGAGCUUACAGAAUCAGACCCUGGCAGGACUGCGCAGGCCCAGCAGGCUGCCAGCUGCAACCCCGCCCCUUACCCUCAGCAAAGAGAGCAGGGACAGCCUGCCGGCCUGCCGCACUGGAAAGGUUUGGGCUGAGCUGGCAAGAAAGCAACAAGCAGAACGCUCUCUCUCACGGGGUUCCCACGGCGCCACAAGCUGGAUGCAGGGCUCCUGCCCCAGGCCGGAUGAGGCUUGAGUGGCCUGCGGGAAUUUCCAGUGAAAUCUCUUCUGAUUUAGUCACAUGCAUCAUCCUUUGAGGCGCAGGACCGGGCAGCAGAAGUUCCUGUAAAGAAGCCACGUAGAGUCCGUGUGGGGGUCCCAACGUGACUGGACCAACCAUGAGCUGAAGCCUUGGAAACCGUGAGUCAAAUGGAAGUCAACACUCGUCCUCUGAGCUGAUUCCCUCCAGUGUUCGGUCACAGCAACAGAAACCCAACUCUCACAGUCAAAAGCGAGCAAGGCCAUCCUCCUCAUCCGGCAGAUUGCUUUCAAACGUGUGUCAACAAACGAGAGAAAGCCACACUCUCGUAUCCCCCCACCCCACAAGCAGCACAUGUGAGCCGUUGUUUCAAAUAUUGAGACACUUUUCGCCGGGUGGUGGUGGCACACGCCUUUAAUCCCAGCACUUGGGAGGCAGAGGCAGGUGGAUCUCUGUGAGUUCCA